UACGGAGGGUGCAAGCGUUAUCCGGAUUUACUGGGUUUAAAGGGUGCGUAGGAGGGCAGGUAAGUCAGUGGUGAAAUCCCCGAGCUUAACUUGGGAACUGCCGUUGAUACUAUCUGUCUUGAAUAUUGUGGAGGUGAGCGGAAUAUGUCAUGUAGCGGUGAAAUGCUUAGAUAUGACAUAGAACACCAAUUGCGAAGGCAGCUCGCUACACAUAUAUUGACUCUGAGGCACGAAAGCGUGGGGAUCAAACAGG
rnacentral:rRNA from 1 species